UGGGGAAUCAUGGUCAAUGGGCGAAAGCCUGAACCUGCGACGCCGCGUGAGUGAUGAAGGUCGUAAGAUCGUAAAACUCUUUUCAGGGAUCUUAAAGCCUGUCUGUCAACAACAGGCAGGUCUGACUCUCCCUGGAAGAAGCCCCAGCCAACUACGUGCCAGCAGCUGCGGUAAUACGUAGGGGGCGAGCGUUAUUCGGAAUUACUGGGUGUAAAGGGUAUGUAGGCGGCCCUUCAAGUCGCGUGUCAAAGUCCAGUGCUCAACGCUGGGUGUGCACGCGAUACUGACGGGCUUGAGGGCUGGAGAGGUGAGCGGAAUUCCCGGUGUAGUGGUAAAAUACGUAGAGAUCGGGAGGAACACUAGCGGCGCAGGCGGCGCACUAGACAGUUUCUGAAGCUAAGAUCCGCAAGAGCGUCAGACAAACAUAAUUAGGCACCCCAGUAGUC
rnacentral:rRNA from 1 species